GGGAUGGUAAAAGCCGCAGAUAAUUACAUACAACUGAGUAUAUUUCAGGAAGGUAGAAUUACAAAAUCUCCUGACAUUUGGCAGAUAUACAAUUAAGUCUUUUCCUUUCAAAAUGAAUUAUAAAGUCCUUGACUUUUCAAAUUUGCCACACUUAAAUGAGAAAUUCUAAGAUCCCUCGUUCUCUCUUUUUUUUUUUUUUUUUUUCUAGCAAAG
rnacentral:misc_RNA from 1 species